rnacentral:rRNA from 1 species
GAGUUUGAUCGUGGCUCAGAUUGAACGCUGGCGGCAUGCCUUACACAUGCAAGUCGAACGGCAGCACGGGAGCUUGCUCCUGGUGGCGAGUGGCGAACGGGUGAGUAAUGCAUCGGAACGUAUCCUGGAGUGGGGGAUAACGUAGCGAAAGUUACGCUAAUACCGCAUAUUCUGUGAGCAGGAAAGCGGGGGACCUUCGGGCCUCGCGCUCUUGGAGCGGCCGAUGUCGGAUUAGCUAGUUGGUGAGUAAAGGGCUCACCAAGGCGACGAUCCGUAGCAGGUCUGAGAGGAUGAUCUGCACACUGGAACUGAGACACGGUCCAG